rnacentral:rRNA from 1 species
CCUACGGGAGGCAGCAGUGAGGAAUAUUGGUCAAUGGACGAGAGUCUGAACCAGCCAAGUAGCGUGAAGGAUGACUGCCCUAUGGGUUGUAAACUUCUUUUAUAAGGGAAUAAAGUGUGGGACGUGUCCUAUUUUGUAUGUACCUUAUGAAUAAGGAUCGGCUAACUCCGUGCCAGCAGCCGCGGUAAUACGGAGGAUCUGAGCGUUAUCCGGAUUUAUUGGGUUUAACGGGUGCGUAGGCGGCCUUUUAAGUCAGCGGUGAAAGUCUAUGGCUCAACCAUAGAAUUGCCGUUGAAACUGGGGGGCUUGAGUAUGUUUGAGGCAGGCGGAAUGCGUGGUGUAGCGGUAAAAUGCGUAGAUAUCACGCAGAACCCUGAUUGCGAAGGCAGCCUGCCAAGCCAUGACUGACGCUGAUGCACGAAAGCGUGGGGAUCAAACAGGAUUAGAUACCCCUGUAGUC